UCUGAUUUUUGUAUUAUGAUAUGUGCGCCAACUGUACUCUAAAACCAAUAAAACUCGCCCAUGUGGUCUUCAUAUCGAUUAUAACAAUUGCAAAGCGAGGAACGACAAGUAAGUUGUAUCUACAAGUUUAAUUAUUGUAAUCUUCAUUUUAAAAAUUAAACUUAUUUUAUAAUUACCAUGUUAAUAUGUUUAAAGUUAAUAUGUUUUUGACCCAAGAAUAAACAUUAAGAUUAUUUUUGAGAAAUGAGCAGCCAAGAUACAGAAGGCGACGAAGAAGUUUCUGCAUUUUUUCGAAAUGUUCAAGAGAUCAGAGCCGAAGAGCUCUUGCCAACAGAAGUAAUGGACA